rnacentral:rRNA from 1 species
CGAGUCAUUGUAGCAUACAAGGCAUACGGCUCAGUAACGCGUAGUCCACCUAACCUAUGGACGGGAAUAACCUCGGGAAACUGAGAAUAAUGCCCGAUAGAACAUUAUGCCUGGAAUGGUUUAUGUUCCAAAUGAUUUAUCGCCGUAGGAUGGGACUGCGGCCUAUCAGUUUGUUGGUGAGGUAAUGGCCCACCAAGACUAUUACAGGUACGGGCUCUGAGAGGAGUAGCCCGGAGAUGGGUACUGAGACACGGACCCAGGCCCUAUGGGGCGCAGCAGGCGAGAAAACUUUGCAAUGUGCGAAAGCACGACAAGGUUAAUCCGAGUGGUUUCUGCUAAAGAAACCUUUUGUCAGUCCUAGAAACACUGAUGAAUAAGGGGUGGGCAAGUUCUGGUGUCAGCCGCCGCGGUAAAACCAGCACCUCAAGUGGUCAGGAUGAUUAUUGGGCCUAAAGCAUCCGUAGCCGGCUCUGUAAGUUUUCGGUUAAAUCUGUACGCUCAACGUACAGGCUGCCGGGAAUACUGCAGAGCUAGGGAGUGGGAGAGGUAGACGGUACUCGGUAGGAAGGGGUAAAAUCCUUUGAUCUAUUGAUGACCACCUGUGGCGAAGGCGGUCUACCAGAACACGUCCGACGGUGAGGGAUGAAAGCUGGGGGAGCAAACCGGAUUAGAUACCCGGGUAGUCCCAGCUGUAAACUAUGCAAACUCAGUGAUGCAUUGGCUUGUGGCCAAUGCAGUGCUGCAGGGAAGCCGUUAAGUUUGCCGCCUGGGAAGUACGUACGCAAGUAUGAAACUCAAAGGAAUUGACGG